UGCUCGAUCCUGUCUGUGUCUGUAUUCGGUCGCAGUGUUAACCGAAAUUUUCAACGGUAAAUCGCGUGUGCUCGUGAAAAAGUAACAUCCAGCGGUUGGCCUCAGGAUUCUGAAUGCGUUCCUGGUGUUGGACACAUCCGCCGGGUGUUCGAACUGUUCCGACGAUGGCGAAGAGUUUUGCUUUAAAACAACGAAUGUUUCAGGGAACAUUUCGCCUACGGGGUGAACUUCGCGCUCGAUUUGGACGAGGAAAGCCGCAACAGAAUCACUCGACAAGAUCGCCAAGAAGUUGGCUUUUCUACAAGGACGAUCGUGGAUGGCGUGUGGCCCAAUUUGUGCUGCCGGGGAGUACCAGUCCGGUCGCAAUCAUCAGACGAUAGAGGAACAUCAUUGCACAUGGGUCAAAUGAUCACCAAGGGAACAUUCCCAACACAACCGGCACUAACGAAACCAGCAAAUCAAUCCGGAGUCUCCAGUCGACAAAAAGGAGCCGGUGGUCAGUUUAAACGCACCAUGACAUCACCCAUCCGAGGAGAAACAAGAAUCGGUCGCGAUCGAGAUCGAAAGCGAAAGAAAGCGGCUUCGUUUUGGUGUUUGCAAAACUCUAGAGAAGACAUUAUCAAUUAACAAUUGAAAAAAAAAAACAAAGUUAUUCAAUGUUGAAUGUAAAUAAAUUACAAUGAAUAAUAUAAAAGUACUGUAAAACAUA